GACGAACGCUGGCGGCGUGCUUAACACAUGCAAGUCGAACGGAAAGGCCCUGCUUUUGUGGGGUGCUCGAGUGGCGAACGGGUGAGUAACACGUGAGUAACCUGCCCUUGACUUUGGGAUAACUUCAGGAAACUGGGGCUAAUACCGGAUAGGAGCUCCUGCUGCAUGGUGGGGGUUGGAAAGUUUCGGCGGUUGGGGAUGGACUCGCGGCUUAUCAGCUUGUUGGUGGGGUAGUGGCUUACCAAGGCUGUGACGGGUAGCCGGCCUGAGAGGGUGACCGGCCACAUUGGGACUGAGAUACGGCCCAGACUGCUACGGGAGGCAGCAGGGGGGAAUAUUGCACAAUGGGCGGAAGCCUGAUGCAGCAACGCCGCGUGCGGGAUGACGGCCUUCGGGGUGUAAACCGCUUUCGCCUGUGACGAAGCGUGAGUGACGGUAAUGGGUAAAGAAGCACCGGCUAACUACGUG
rnacentral:rRNA from 1 species